AGUAANCGUAGUUCAGUGGUAGAACACCACCUUGCCAAGGUGGGGGUCGCGGGUUCGAAUCCCGUCGUUCGCUU
rnacentral:tRNA from 1 species